GACGAACGCUGGCGGCGUGCUUAACACAUGCAAGUCGAACGGAAAGGCCCUGCUUUUGUGGGGUGCUCGAGUGGCGAACGGGUGAGUAACACGUGAGUAACCUGCCCUUGACUUUGGGAUAACUUCAGGAAACUGGGGCUAAUACCGGAUAGGAGCUCCUGCUGCAUGGUGGGGGUUGGAAAGUUUCGGCGGUUGGGGAUGGACUCGCGGCUUAUCGGCUUGUUGGUGGGGUAGUGGCUUACCAAGGCUUUGACGGGUAGCCGGCCUGAGAGGGUGACCGGCCACAUUGGGACUGAGAGACGGCCCAGACUCCUACGGGAGGCAGCAGUGGGGAAUAUUGCACAAUGGGCCGAAGCCUGAUGCGGCAACGCCGCGUGCGGGAUGACGGCCUUCGGGUUGUAAACCGCUUUCGCCUGUGACGAAGCGUGAGUGACGGUAAUGGGUAAAGAAGCACCGGCUAACUACGUG
rnacentral:rRNA from 1 species